GGUAUUAAAAUCCUGCAGAAACAUGAAAAUAACAGUGCAAUUAAGCUCAUUGGAAUAUAUAUGUAUGUAUGUAUGUAUAACAUUCCCAAAAACAAAAACACCGAACUGCUGUGCAUCUUCACCAAAUGUUGCCUGCUAAUUUCCAGCAACGUCACCGAAAAAACAAAAACACUUAACUGCUGUGAAUCUUCCCCCAAUUGUUGCUGAUAAUUUCUAGCAUUUAUUCUCAAAAACCAAUGCACCAAACUGAUGUCACAUUAUUUAUCGUGGCUGUGCGUCUUUCAAUUUGGCAAAUUUCGCCCGUUGCCCUGCUCGUGCCCUUGCCGAUCUCAAUUUGGCAGACUCCGCCUCUUUCAUGUCUUGCAAUUUGUCAACGAUUUUGUUGAAGCUCACACUAAGCAUUUGGGGGAAAUGGAUUUCACGCUUAAGGGUUUCGAUUUGGGAGAAAUGAAAUUUCACGAUUAAGGGUUCAAUUUGGAGAUAUGAGUUUGGAGGAAAUGGAUUCACACUCAAGGGUUUGUUUAGGGGAAAUUGAUUUUUAACGCUGAAGGGUUUGGUUUUUACAAUUCAUGGAGCAGGUAAAGUUUAAAAUUUAAUUAAAAUCAAUUUUUUUAUUAUUAUUUCACUAUUUCAGUCGUAAUUUUUAAAAUUUUUCUCUUACAAAUAGGAUCCACUUUAUCUCUAACGGUCAAAAAAUUAAUUAACAAAAUCUCUACCAAACAAGCACUGUGUUUCUCUAGUUGGUAAAGCCUUGUUUGGAUGAGUCUUUGCUGGCGUGGAAGUUGAUUUGGCGAAUACUUACCACUUGGAAGGAUUUAACAUGUCACAUCGUUUUUCUCCGUAAGCCACGUCAACACGUCUGUUAAUGAUUUUUAUCGGGUGAGCGAUAGAGUUGGAUGGAUCAAAGUUCACUGGCAAAUGAGACAAUUGAUAAAGUUCAGUGAUUAAAUCGUGACAUGUUGCAAAGUUCAGUGGCUAAUGAAACAUUUAACACCAUAUUAAAUAUAAAUAAGAGGAUUUAUGUCAUUUGUACACUCAUUUUUUACAUCUUUGUUGACGUUUGCAUUAUUGUCAACAAAUAAUUAGAUAAAAAAUCUUUUUUUUUAUAAAUUGUUCAAUUGAAUAAUGUCCUAUGAUAAAGAGUAAACAAUCAGGUACCCCAUAAUGUACACCAAGGAUGAUUGAAAUUAGAGAUAAAAUUUGAAUUACAGAUAUAAUCCAUUGAAUAUUAAAUUUGAACAAAAUCGUCUAGUAAUUGACCAUUAAUAUUACGUAAAUUGAAAAUCUUUUUUAUUUAAAAACCACCUAUAUAUUGAAACCCAUAAAAUGCAUUGCAUUGAAGAUGCCCUUAUUUUUAUUAAGUGUAUCGAAUGAGGACUGUUACAAUAAUUUUCCUAUUUAAUAUUAUAAAUUAAUAAUUUACAAUUAUACAUUUUUAUAUUUUUAUUAACUCAAUGACAAUUAUCAUAUCAAAAUAUAAUUAGAAGUUAUUAGUCUGCUCAGAAAACAAGGAGAUAGAUCAUUUUCCUCUUCAAGAAAGAGCAAGCAGUACAAACAUUCAAGCCCUCGGCAAAAACUCAAUCCGCAUCCCCCAAUCUAGAAAAAUAAUGUCAAAAGGAUUCUAAACUUUCAUUCAUACGCAAUUACAUCUGUAGUUCAAUAAGAGAUGUUAUUGUAUAUAUAUAAUGAAUCAGAAAUGCUUACGCGCAAUAAGCAUUCGAGUACCUCACAUACAAAACAAGGGAUCUCAAAACUCCACAUACAACAAUACACGGUUCUUGCAAGAUGACCUUGUGCUGAAGUACCCCCACAUAAUCUUUUUUUUGUAUGCGCACAACUGCCAGCAGCAACGGUGUAAAUCAAAAAGGGUAAGGCAAAUCAAUCUCAUAAUAGCUCGACUAGUUAGACAAAAGUGGAAGAAUGCAACAUCAGUAGCUUCCACGAGUUGCAGUAGGGAGGGGUUGAACAGCGGCUAGAGGGUUCACUUGGUAUGAGAAUGCAAGUUGCCACAAGUCGACCAGAGCCUUUUUGAUGGAUACAGCUUUGUUUGUAAAAACCCUGUGCAGGCAGAACAUAAAUAUUAGGUGGCAACAAUUUUAGAUAGUUUCCUGAUAAGACAAUCAAAAUUUCAGAAAGAAUUGGAGUGGCUACAGAUGUUUAUUUUAUGGGAUGCCAAUUAAUAAAUCCUACUCAUCCUUCACCAACCCGUAUUUACUGAUAUAAACUUUCAAAACAAACACAACUGUUUGAACAAUAGAAUAUACAUUACGGAACCGUAAGGUAGCAACAUGCUAAAAUAGUUCCUAUUUUAUUAGUGCAUUCAUAAGCCAAAAUCAAGCUCAACUCAUCACAUACGUUUCAUAUACUUUCCAGGGUUAAAUUACCAUUAUGAACUAAUAAGACGAGAUUGGCACAUAGUAGUUGUUCUAAAAAUGCUAGACCAUUGAUCAAGCAUCCCAAAAGGGUUUUGUAGUCCACCAGCUCUUUUCACCGCACCAUUCUUUCUCAUUCACUUUUCACCGUACCAUUCUUUCUCAUUCACCUUUUAGCUACAUUAGACCAACUGCCCCUAAAAGUGCCUCUAACUUGAAGAAACACUUUCAUAAAAUUAUUUAAACAGGGCCAAAAGUAAUUUUGGGACAAGAGCUUAUUUUGACUUUUCGAAAGCUAUUUAAAAUGGGCCUUAAGAACAAAAUGGUUGAUAUUAAACUCAAUGAAUAAUAUAUUAAUCUAACCCAGUUAGAUGUUAAAAAGUUUUCUUAUGUGUAUUAAUGGGAUUACUUCAACAUUAUAAAUAUCAUUGCCCACAAAAAUCCUAUUAUUUACUUUCACUCCAAUAUAACAUGCACUCAAAGGAUUCAACAGAAAAUAUUUAUACGGAACAGUCGGUCUCGUAGCAUGUGGACUAACAACCUGCUGAACUAGUCAUUCCAUCAUAUUGUCAUGUGCGCUAAAAUAUUGAACUAGUCAUUCCAUCUAUGAUGCACCGACAUGGAUUGACACUCAAUUUUUCAAAAAAGUACCAACGCGACACGUCAACGAUACAUUGAUUAAAUUCUUUAAAAUUCUUCAUUUAUAUUAUACAAAAUUCUUUAAAACUCUUCAUUUAUAUUGUACAAAUUUAGUUUUACACUUGUUACUAAUUUUUCUUAUUGAAAUUUUUUAAUUAUGAGUAUCUAUUUGUUAUUUACUAAUAAUUUUGAAUUAAAAAUAUAUAAUACUUCAAUAAAAAAAGAAAAUAUUUAUGGUAAAGUGUCUGAUGAGUGUCGCUAUCAACACGUGUCCGACACGGACAAACUAUUCUAGAUGAAAUGUCCAUGCUACAUAGCCUUCCAUAUUAAUUAUGCUCAGCAAAGGCAAGUACAAACAAAUAGAGAUUGUGAUAAUGCACUUGACAGGGAAAACGAAAUAUAUCUUCCAUCAAAAUCAUAAUUUUUCGAUCCAGACAAUGGAACAAUGUCAUGGCUGCAAUAAUGGAUACAAUUAAUGACGUUCCCCUUUACUGUGUAUAUUUAAAAAAGAUUACUCGGUUUACUUUUCAGAAAUAUUGCUUAGAUCAUAAUAAUUCUUAGUUCUACACUCCACAUAUUAUGCAUCUCCUACAAGAAGACGGAUCACAGAUAUAUCCUCCAGAAGACUAUAGCUGACUAGCUAUGAGACAUGGAAAUUUAGAACAAGAGGAGCCAUCCCUGAUCAUAUUUAAAUAUUAAUUGCUUGCACAAGAACCACAAAGAGAAUUAUAUCUUACCUCUUUAAUGCAGCUUGCUUCCUCCUCAUAAAAUAAUAGAUAAGCAACAAUAAGCAAGAUAGCAAGACUUUUCCACUAGGUACAACUAAUCGAUAGUUGCCAAAUUUCAGAUUGAUGGAAGGGAACCACCAGAAGUAUGGAACUCUGUGUCUAGACAAUUUCAGAAUUUCCUGUUUUGUAGUAUUCCCUCCACCAGCUAGAUGUCCAGAUUCAAAAUCUUUCAGAUGUCCAUUAUACUGUUUUUGUUCUCCAAAGGGAUCAGAGUUUGUUUUGUGUUCAUCUGUCUGCUGAGGUGACAUAGAAGCUUGUGAUGAAGUGUUGACCUUGGAAGAACUCAUUGAAUGUAACCGCCUCAAAAAUUCCUGAAAGACAAAUGAAAGAAAUUUACAAAUGUCAGUGAAUGCAUAAUCUUUAAAUGAUACAUUCAAGUCAUAAUUUAUACAUCAUGCACCUGACAUACAUAAUACACAUAAAAACACAUCGCAGACUUUUUUCAUCACAUUGAAAAUGUUCAUAACAGAAGAAAGAAAAUUGUGUACAUGCAUGAAAGGACAUCAUAUGCUAUGCACUAGUACAGGGCUAAGAGCAAAGGCAUUUUCUACAUCCAUGAAGAAGUGAUCAUAACAUGAAAGCUCAGGAGUAUGAUGCGAAGCAAUCUUCAGAUGCAAUGUUGACCUUUGACUUCCAAUAAAAUCCUCAACUUGGUACUCUGUGAUAUCUCUUUUUGAACCACUCACUUCCACUGCACUACAUCUUUCUCCUUAGCAUCCAAAGUUACCGCAUGCAUGUAGAGGAGAUUAUUAGCAUCUUCAUUUUAAUUUUAUAGGAAGUCGGUUUGAUUGUUUACUGAGCUAAAAUGCUUUUUGUAAAAGAUGAUGAAAUUUGUAUGAGCAUUUAGUAGAUCACAACCACCAUAAAAGAAGUAGACCGGAAAGAAAACACUCAAAAAAUUUAAACAGAGCUUACGGAGAACGAACUCCUUGAAGGUGAAGUGAAAAGUAUUACGAGAAAAUAUGCUAUAAAUUCGUCAAAAUGAAUGAACUCAUUCAUUCAUUAAAAAGAAGGGAUAUUUCCUUUUCCAAUUCAUAUACAAACAUUAGUGUGGCCGUGUGUGCUAUUAUAUGUAGGUAAUAGGGAAGAUUUAUUGAGUGUCCAUUAGAAAGGGAGGUAAUUACAGAGAGGUGCCACAUCUCUUGAAAUCAAAUAAUUUGGUAACAUGAAAGGAGUAGAAGAUCAAAUUAAUACUUCACAGAUGAAUUUAGGAACCAUGAAAAACAUUUGUAGAAGAUACUUCGACCAAGAAUAGGUCUCAUCGGAAACAAUUACCAGUGAAUUGUCAAGUAGAAGUCAAAAAACCUCAACACGAUUUUCAAAAUGUCAAUAAUUUUUGUAGUUGUGAAUUGCAAUGAGAUGAUGAAGUCUGAACCAACUAUGAAUAGUAAAUAUUUUCAGUCAAGUUACCUAUCUUGCUUAUCUGUCAUAGCCUCACAGAGUUUAAUCUCUUCAACAAUGACCAACAUAAGCAAUAUAAAUUAUCAUGCUUGAGUUCAUCUCAUGUCUAUGAAUUGACUGCCAAAACAAAAUUCCUGAUUCUAGUGUUUCCUACUUGGCAAACCUCCAUCCUAAAUUGGAGGCAAUUGGCAAACAGCAUAUUUAUAUUUUUUAUCACGGUAAGGAUGGGAACACUGUCAUUUUAAAGCUAACUGUAUAAAAGGUGCCAAAAUGUAAUGCAAAAGAGCAAUUAGUUUACACAGAACUCUGAUGGAAAUUUCAAAUUCCAGUAAUGCAUAAUCAGAACUUGGAAUAUUCCUAACUAUCAUGAAGCUGAAUUAAGAAACGACAGUCAUUAAUUUACCUGACGCCUCUCCUCAGGUAGCAUGGCUUUUUCUACCCAAGAAAUAGCAAGAUCUGUGUCUUUUAUAGCCAUUGCAAGCAGUGACAUCACAUAAAGCUCAACAACUUCCAAAUACUCAUUGACUCCUAUAGAAAACCUAUAACAAGAUCCUUCUAUGUCGGAUGCAUUAGCUUCUGCGCUCAAGAGAAGAUAAUACCGCUGAUCCACAUAUUUCCAAUUGUUAAGAAAUUCCUCAAGAAAGCCUUGGGCAACAGUCAAGUGGCCUUCUGACAUAUGAAAACACACCCUGAAGAAAAAAUAUUGGACCAGUAGAGUCAUGACAUUCAUCUUUAGUAUUUGAUCACCAUAAUCAAAAGUGGAUAAACAAAACAAUCCAUAGCAUUUAUUUAUUUGCUUUAUUCGAACCUCAGAUUUAAGAGUGAAAGAAAGCGAAGACUAAAGUUUUAGAAAUAAAAGAAGAAAACAACACAGCUAUAAGUUCCUCGUGGCAACGUACAAGAGAGUAAAAUAGACAUGCCACCUUCACACCAUGGUCAUGAGAAGCUGUAGAUAAAGAUCACGUGAUGGAUAGACAAUCAACACCCUACAGUGGUGUUCCAUGCAAAGCUAAAGAUCAAGUGAAUUUUAUAAAGGUUCGCCACCAACUAAUGCACCCAAAAAGUAAAUUCCAAGACUCAAUGACAUUAAACAAGAAAACAUCAUUUGAGCACCACAAAUGGAGGUAGAAAACAUAAUAUUUGGUCCAAUGCACAAGAUAAAAAAUUAAACUUCAGAGUACGGCCCCAUCUCCCUUUGUACAGAUUCAAUCUAAUAUGAAAAAGGUCCUUAUAGAGCCAGUCCCACCUCACAUUUUACUAAAUAAACAAGAUAUUCAUUUUUUUUUUCUUUUGAUAAUUCAAAACUGGAACUUAUAAUUUUCUGAAGUUCACUUCCUUUUUCCAUUUCAUGUUAAUCUUCACUAUUGCAACUUUCUGCAAAUAGAUAUUUUAUAUGUUUUACAUUUAGCCCCCGUUUGAACUAUAUUGUAAAAAUGAAAAUGAAAAAUAUAGUCGUUAUGGGCCACUUAAGAGAUAAAAAGUCAAAUAUAGUGACAUGAUGUAAUGAAUAACGGUCAUAUUUUUCAUUUUAAUGAGAAAAUAAUGGAGCUCAAAUAGGGCCUUACAUUCUCUGCUGGAUAAAAAGAUUCUAAUACAGACUUUUCGGCAAAUACAAAACUCUAUCGCAAGAUUAAAUAUUUUUUUAGAAAGGAUCACAAGAUUAAACAUGUAUUAAUUCAGAUACUAAUUAGUUUAAUUAGGUGCUAAAAUGAUGCUAUCAUUUGUCGAAUUCUCGACCAUCAAGGGUCAUGCAACCAGACCUUCUCCUGCUACUAUAGUAGCACCUCUCAAACACUCCACCACUAUAGUAGCACCUCUCAAGCACUCCGCCACAAAUGUGUGACAAAGAGUACUUGCACUUCCACAUUUGAUAUUGGUACCGUAAAUGACAAUGCAAAAAUCACUGUGCAUGUUUGCGGUAAUUGCUUUCAAAGUGCAAGACAAACAGCACAACAGCACAUUAACAAUCAACCAUAUUCUUGACUUCAUACAGCUUCCAAUUACUAACAUAUCCAGGCUCCAUCAUAUACUUAAAGCUUGUUUGGCACAAAUUUUUUCAAGUGAAAAUGAUUUGUUUGGAGAAUGCAUGGUUGAAAAAGUAGGGAACAACUGUGGAUUCCAUAAAAUGUGUGGUUGAAAAUGAUAUUGGAUAAAAAUGAUUUAAAAAAAAUAUGUGCCAAACAAGCCUUUAAAUCUGAUUCCUGUGCAUUCCAAGUAAUCAUACAAAUAUUCAUACAUAUCUUCCCAUUUUCCACUAAGCCUAUAAUAAGUAUCCAAAGAAAGCUAUUGAGAAAGUGUCUGGAAUUAAAUUAAACACUACUUUAGUAAAAACUUUGAUUUUGUAAAUGAAAGACUCUGUACCCCCUUAGCAAUGAUGCGAAAAAAAGGAUUUCAACGCAAUAUGGUAAAAUCUUCUUAGCACGUACAUUCCGGUAAUCCUAUAAUGCUAUUAAGGAAAAAGCAUAUAUAAAAUAAGUGAAACCUUAUGGCAAAAUGCUAAUAAAAUUAAAUACUGCUCUAAGCUCUUGUUUGAGCCCCAUUCUUUUCGUAGAAAUAAAUUUUUGAAUAGUGUAUUGAUGCAAAAUGUGUGCUUAAAAAAUAAGAAAAAGUUUUAGAUUUAAGUGUAAUAUUAUUUUAUUGAAUAAUGUGUGAUUGAAAUGACUUAAAAAUAUCGUUUAAGAAUGUACUUUUUUUUUAAAAAAAAGAAUGAGGCUCGAACAGACGCUAAAUGUUUAGCACUAACCAACGUUUAAUUAAUGGAACCGAACUACUCAAGCAAAAAAGAAAAAUCAAUACCCGGCGAGGAAAACUUGCGCAGGAAUAGCAGCUACGGAGCCAAAUAACAAUUUAAGCUCCUUGAAAAUCUCAGAUGUCCUGAAUAUUAGAAAACAAAGUUGAAAAUUCAAGAAACUCCCUUGCCCAAAAAUUACAAAGUAAAACCUCAAAUUCCAAUUCAUUAGGAAUUAAAACUUUACUCUUUACCUUUGGAGCUGCUUCAUGGAUUGAACCAAAACCAUGCCCGCUGAUUCCAACAUAUCAUCCCAUUCAUUUUCGUAAUUCUCCGGAAAUUGGUUUCCCUUUCUUUUAUAAUCACAAUUUUCAAGCAAUCUCGAUAGAAUAGAGGACGACAAGGACGCCGAUUCAUCGAACAUACAGCACACAAGAUAACUGCCGAUACGAAAAAGAAAGAAAAAGUUUAAUUUUUAUGGCAUACUAUAACAAGAAUGAAGAAGUGAGAGGGUGAAUUUUUUACCUUUCAGCGCUGUCAAUUUCUUCCCAUGUGGGUGAUCGCACAACGGAAAUGGCCAUCGGUGCUUGUGCCUGUGAGUGCAAGCAGUUUAGCAGCUAUUAUUUUAUUAUGUCGUGUUUGGAUAAGCAUUAAAAUGUUUAAAGUAACAUUUAGCUUAGCCAAACAUGCACUAAAAUAAGCUUAAAAAUAAAUUUGUGUUAUAAAAUAAAGAGAAAAAUGAAAGAAGCCACUUGUGUGUAAUUUAUUGAGGACAAAAUCUCCAUAUUUAUAGGGAAAAAUUAAAGUGCGGAUAAUUGCGAGUUGAUGAUAGAGGGGAAUAGAUGAGAAAGAGAGAGAGAAAGUGAAUUACGUGGAAAAUAAAACUCAUCUCACCCUAUAUUUUCUUUAUUUUUAAAAAAAAAUAUGAUCACAUGACCAAAAAUUGAAAAUUUAUUUUUCAUGAAAAAAUUGUCAAUCAAAUACCCCCAAAAAUAAGAAUUUGGAUGGAAAAAUGACAUUUUUAAGGAAAAAUAAAGUAAUGGAACACACUCUUAGAGUUGCAAGUAAUAACUAAAGUUGUAGAGUUACAACGAUCAUUCGCUAAUAAACAUAUAAAUUGCGACAAUCCCCUUGAAUAACUCAUUACACAAUAUAUGCCUCGUUAAAAUUUUAUUUUAUAAAAAUUCAGCGAACAAAUUAUCAAAAGAAAGAAAAAUAGUACAAAUAAUUAUAACAAAUUUGGAAUAAGAAAAUAAUGCGGUUAAAAUUUUGUAAGACAAAACUUGGGCUUUGUUUGUCUACUAUUAUGCCACAUUAUUUUUCUACAGUAUUCAUUUUCAACCAUACAUUUUUCAUUAAAAUAAUAUUACACGUAAAUAAAAAAAUUCUUUUUUAACCACACGUUUCAACAUCAGUCACUAUUCCAUAAUACAUUACUCACAAAUAAUGGAGCACAAACACCCCCUUAAGCGAAGUAAAAAAAGAAUACAGCUAUUUUUCUUAGUUUCAAUAAAUGAAAUUCCGGUAUCAAACUAUUCAUGUCUUAUACGUCAAUAUCUUUAAUAUUGCAAUUCUGUGAAACAUAUUUCAUGUUGUUUUGUUAUAUCCUUCAAGCAAUAUUGUUUUUAUGGAUGAUAUUUAUUAAUCUUUAUUUAUAUUUAGUCUACAUGAUGAUCUAUUGAAAAAUUAAUUGAGUUUUUGCUCCCGUCUAGAGUUGUACACAAUUUGUACAUAUGAGAAUAUUAUUUUUUAGGGUAAAUAUCUUGAACAUUCAUUACACAAAGAAUAUGAUUCCUUAAAAUUUUAUUAGAAAAAAUUCGUGAUAUAAAUUUUAAUAAAAGAAAAGAGUAUAUUAUUCUUUUGAAUACACUUAAAAAGUUGUCUCAUCAAAUAUCUUGUCAGAAAAAUCCAAUAGGAACAAACCUUGAUCGAGAAAAAAAGAGUACAAUGCGUAUUUAUUUCCCUCACGACACUAUUACUUGAAUUAUAUGUUUCAGACAUAUUAAAUCAUUUAGGUAUAACAUUGAUGGUCAUGUCACAUGAAUGGGCUUUAAUUGCAUUUAAAUUUUCAUGCAUCAUUAGGAUAACAAGAUAUGGACUUGUGAAUGCAUUCACCACGACUUUGUAAAAUUCACCAUGUUGAGAUUCGUGCAUUAUAUAUUAUGACCUCAUUUUUCUCAUUUCUAUUCACAUAAGUAUGCAUAUUUUCGAACUACAAAUCCAUAAACUCCAAAUUUCCCUAAUAAUAAUUUUACUAGGAUUGUGUUGUUCUAUUGGACCAAUUAUUUCUUUGAUCGAUAUGCUUCAAUGAAUUUAUUUCGAUAUAAUUAUCAUUUACAAUAUGAAGCGGUACAUUGUAUACAAAAAUAUUGUCAAUAACUUUUUCUUUUCUUUUCUUUUCUUUUCUAUUUCUUUUUUAUAACGAUAUAACAUAUUGAAAUAUCUUUAUUUCAAUAUCUUAAAUACUUGAAUCUGUUUUAUGAUUUCAUAAUUAAUUAUGUCCAUAUGUUCUCCAAGAGUGCUCAAUUUUCUAUUGUAGAUUUUUGUCUAAAUAUCAAAUGUAUUCACUCUUCUGGUUUGCCAUAAAUAUAUCAAAUAAAAUUUUAAUGGAUUGUUCUUCAAUUGAAGUUGGAACACUUAAAGUUGGUGUGUGAUAUAUCGUUAUUUUCUUUGAUCAGUAAAUGUAUAUAAAUGAAUUAUCUUUCGAACUUCGAGUUCAAAUUAUCUUUUAAGAGGUCUAGAUAGUAUAAAUGAUGUAUUUGUAUAUUAUAAUAUUAUUUUCAACUUAAUUUCUCCUCCUUAUACUGAGAAAACUGUCCAAUCAAAUUGACAAUCAGCAAACUGUGUUAUAGAAUAUCACACGUUAAGGCUUGAGAUAUUUUAUAAAUGUUCAAACUAUACAUUUAUUCUCAACGAUCUUUACUUUCCAUUUUAUUGCAUUAUAGUGGAUCAAUUGCACUAUCAAAAUAAUUAAAUAGAAAAAUUAGAUUCUAACCAUAAGCCAAAUGUAGCAUGAAAAAAAUCAUUCCCUAAACAACUGGAAAGCAUUUGUUCUCAAUAGUAAUGAUUUAUAGAUUAAUUAAAGGCAUGAACAAACAAUAGUGUUAAAUCAUUUAUCGUCAUCACAACUAGUACAUAUUAAAAAAAUUGAGAUUUAAGCUCACUAGUAUUAAAAAAACACACUGUGUUGAUUGUCUAAUCUGAAUAUAAUGCUCAAAAUUUAAAAUUUGAAUAGUAAUUUUGUAAACUUCAUGCUGUGAAUAUCAUAUAAUAAUCAGUAUAUUUAUUAGAUACAAAUAAUAUCUAUAUGUUCGACAUGAAUGGUGACGGGUGCCCAUAUAUCAUCUUAAUUAGUUUUCAAGAUUAUAAAGAUUUAGUUCCAACAUUAUUUGGGAUGGUCAAUGAUCAAUUUAUGAUAUAGGGAAUAAGUAUUUUAUGUGAAUUCAUUAGAUUGAAAAAUAUUCUGGUUCUUAGUCAAAUAUUUAUUUGGAUUCGCAUUUUGCACCAUUAUUGAUCCAACGAUGAUAUAAUUGGGCAUAGUAAAUAAUAAAAACUAGAGUUAUUGAACUUUUGAUUUAAUACAUUAUUUGUUUCAAUUAUACUAAUAUUAGUAUAGUAUACCAAUUAAGAAAUAGUGUUUUGUAGGUUUCUCUUCUAUUUAGUGAAGAACAAAUUACAAGCAAUAUAAGUUUGUCUCCCAUAUUACACAAUAUUACCUUUUCUUAAGCUUUGAAUAAGAAUAUGCAGAAUCUCGUAUUAGUUUUUACCAUUAUCUAGAAUUACAUUAUCUUUACUAUAUUAAAAGUGAUAUUAUUUUGGAAUAUUAAUAUGUAUAAAUAGAUUCCAGUCUAGAUAGAAUAUUUAUAUAAUUUGGUUUUUUUUUUCCCAAAACAUCAACACAUUACUUAUCUAAAUUAUUAAUGCGAUAUUUAAUUAUAUCACAUUUAGUUGUGCUUUCUUGGGAGUAUAAACAUAAUUAAAUAUGAAUGUAAAUCAUAGAUAUAUUUCGAGAUUUGUGUUACGUCGGGAGCACAAAUGUAUCAUUCAAAAUUGAAACUUAUUACAUUAUAUUCUAAUGGAGCAAUAACAAAAUAUUUUUCUCUUUAAAUAUUAAAGUAAAAAGUCAUUUUUGGAGACAAAAAUAUUUUUAAUAACGUUGAUUUGAGUUAUAUUGCCUUCUUAAAAAAUAAUAAAAUAAUAUUCUCCGAAGUAUAUGGUAAAGUCCCAAUUUAUGCUUUAUCAGGAGCAGCUGAAAAAAUUAUGGAUGAAUAAUAAUUAGCCCUUGUCCGACAACAAUUUCUACAAGAUUAAAAGCAAUCUUUUUACCGUUGCAAAGUGAAGGUUGGUCCCACUGUGCGAAUUCAUUUGAGAAGGAAGUCAAAAAAGGAAACAGCAAUGGGCCCAUUUUGCAUUGGCAACAAUCAAUUGACGAAUUAAAAUCUGGAUGAAAAUUUCUCUCAAAUAGGCGCUUAAUAAUAACUAAAUAUUCUUCUAGAAUAUUGCUUUAAAAUUUGUGCUCAUUCAGGAGUAAUAAUACCAUACUCUUAUGAAAUAUUGAUAUUUAAAAUGUUUUACUUCUCAUGCAAUAAUAACAUAAUAUUUUACUAGAUUAUUGAUAUAACAUAAAUUCAAAAAUAUUAAUCAAAUUAAAAAUAAGCAAUUGUAGUUUUUCAAUCAUUUUAGAAGACUGAAGUUGUUCUUGAAGAAAAAGUUGGAGUCCUUUGAACAAUUGUAGUUGUUUUAAAAGAAUGCAGUCAUUUCUUAAGAAAAGACUCGAGUCUUAUAAACCACUAGAGUCUUUUAAAAAGAUUUCAGUGUUUUUGAACAAUGACUUAAGUAAUAUGGAAAGAUAUGUUGUUGUUUAUAUAUGAAUUUAUUUAUUCAACGUUCAAGAUAUUUCAUUUAAAAAUGUAUAUGAAUAAGAAUGUUAAUCUGGCUCGUCGAUUUGAGUGGCCCAUGACUUGACCCAAAAAAAACCCAAACGGGCUCUGCUCAUGACUUUUUGAAGCCGAUUCGUGGCUCGGGCCAAACCUCAUUUUUAAGUGUUGGCUCGAGCUCGAGCUUGAGCGAGCUACAAGGGCCCUCCUGUGUCAGCCACACUAACAAGAGCCAUUUUGGCCCGUGUUUUAGGAAUGGGCAGUUGAAAUACAGCCUUUUUAAAAGGUAACUCUACAGCUAUGGUACUUUUGAAUUUAAAGACAAUCGUAGUUACCUACUGGCUUCUUAAAAAAAUUAGAAUCGAAGAGAAAAAUUAGUUAGUUCAGCUUAGCUCAAAAAUGCUCAAACUGAAAGCUCGAGACAAGCCCCAUUGUUCGGUCAAGCUUUGGCUCUGCUCGAGCAACAAAAACUCAAUCUAUUUUUAUUCGAGUCUUGAACUUCGGCUUACGAGCUAGCUCGACUCGUUUACAUCCCUAUAGGAAGAUGAACUUCAUUAUAUAUAAUUCAUCGUGCUCCACAAUAAUGUUCAAUUAAUACGAUAUUGUCUCUGUGUAUACGGGUUACAAUUGAAUUGGGUAAGUUAAAUUAUAAUAUAUAACAUUUGAACCGUAUUUUAUUUGAUUUCAAAAUAUUUUGUUUAAAAAUGUAUAGAAAAAUUUGUAUAAAAUCGAUAUAUGAGAUGCGAAACUGAAAAACGACCAACAUCAUUUUUAUUUUACAAAAAGCUUUUAAUCUUUUACUUGCUAUUGGUUGACUGUGGCUUUGUAAACAACGGUCAAGAGCCUUUGUAAAACUAAAAAUGACUUCGAUCGUUUUCCAUUCAUCACUUGUUAUAUGAAUUAAAUCAACAUGAAAAAUCUACUCAACAUUUAUAAAACACAAAUUUGGCAUGAACUACGACAAAAACUCACAAUAUAAAGCAUAAAUUGUAAUAAGUUGAAAUCAGUUUGCAUUGUUAUAUAAACGACAUGUAAUCAACCAAAAACAAUAUACUAAUGCUCCAAUAUACUAUUAGCUAAAGAGAUGACUACAUUUCUGUCUAUGAGGAACUCUUUAGUAGACGACAUUCUUGUUGUUUUAAUACGUCCACCUCGUUGUUAUACUAACGACGACAACACAUUGAGAAAGCCAACUUUUCAAGAACUUCCUAAUCAACUUCAUUUGGCGCAAGAAAAAUAAUAUUAUCGUAUGCUACUCUCCAAUAUUCAACAAUACAAUGCAGAGAGUAGAACAAGUAAAUUGAAUGGCCACUAUUUUUCGUUAUAGCUAUGCAUGCUUGCACGAUAAGUGUUCUAAUUGAAAUUGUCUAUAUCUAUAAGUUUUUUCAUUCAAGUUAAUAGUAUAAUUCAUGGUUUCGCUCUUCACAUCAUAUGUGAACUGAUCGAUCAGCUUGGGAACAAACUUCUUGGCUUUACCAACAUUCUUAUGCAAUUUCUAUUAAAUAUUAGCAUUAGAGUGCUUGUACAGCUCUGUGCAUUCAUGCGCCUCUCAUGAAACUAUUUCUGCAACUUCUUCCUCAUACUCUCAAUCAAUACAAGUAUCGAAGUCUAUCAAUCUUUCUUAAACACUGAAUUCAGUGACUCUGCAUUAUUCGAUGCCAUGAUAUUAUAAUGGUUUUCCUAAAAAUGCGACUUGGCCCUAUCUUGAAAAUUUUUUUUGGCUAAAUAAUCCCAAACUAUAGUAUCAAUUCUCUCAAUUUUGCUUAUAUAAAUUUCAAACUCUUUCAAAGUAUAUGUCUUUGCUGCUUUCUUAGAAAGUGUUAAAAUCUUGAUUUUUUGAGUUACAAUCCUCAAGAUGCCUUCUAUACGAUAAACACAAUGACCAUGAUGGGCAUUUUGAUAGACAGCUUGAACAUCAUUGAUAAUAUUGAUGUUGGUCAAAUAGCACAAUAAGACCUUCAGUAUCAACUGUUACUUCUUUCAACUUCGUAAAAAAAUCAAUUCUACAAUUCAUCAUUCUCGAAUCAACUAUGUCCCAAGCAAGAGGAUAAACCUAAAUAUUUGCAUCUCAACAAAUAGCAACAAUCAUCGUGCUUUCAUAUUUAUCAAUCAGAAAUGUUCCAUAAGGAGUACUAUUUUUUCAGUAAACACAAGGUCCGAGGGCUAUAAUAAGGUACUUGAUCCGUUGAUCUCUUCAUUCCAUCCACUUGUCAACUCAUUCCAACGGUCUAGACCCUACCAAUACCUUGGUGUUUUGAAGAGUGAUUGUCAUUGUCAAUCUCUAAAGACAAUGUCGUUCCAAGAUUAGUUGUAGCUAAGAUAUGAGAAUAUAAGUUCAAUUUAGCUAACUAUCCUUAAUGGAACCUCUUAUACUUCCAAAGCACAUUCUUGUGACUUCCAUUCCCUUUGAUAACUCAUGUUUACCCCGAUUUCUCGAUGCAUAUCAUCAAUGACGUGUGCAUAUCUAUAUACGGUAUUGGAAUUUUAAAACUUAGGCAAUAUAUGUCUUCCAAUAAGCUACAUCUUGCCUGACUAUGACCAUUUAAACGAAUACUUACAGAACAAGUAUGUUCACAUUCAUAUUUGCGUAUUUGAAAGUAAUCAUAAUUUUUGAAUUUAGUUGUUUGCAAGCUUUAUUUGCAAUUUUAAUGCAUGCAAACAAUUUAUAGAUUUCUUUAUUUAAUUUCUUCACCCUAAAUUUAAAGUUGACUUCUUUGCAAGCAUAUAGACUUCUAUCAUAAGAUCUUUUUUGUAUUGAAAAUUUGGUGAUCUUCUAAUCUACAUCCUCGAGAAUCAUAUGUGACAUAAGAGUUGAAGCAACAAAGUGCUCAUUUCUAAAAAGAUUUUCUUCUCUGUUGCCUUGAAACAUCUUGGAUCUAUGUGUAGAGAAAGCAACAUUUUUACAAUUUUCAAUGAGAACAUCAAUAUUAUUGUCUUGAGCUGUCUCCAACCCGUCCCAAUCAACAUUCACAAUCCGAUCCACUUCAUUGUCAUCAUACAUACGCUUGCAUUUCACAAUGCAGAUCACCACCUUCAAUUUGCAUUUCACAUUUAACUUAAUUGUCUUCCACUUCAUGAAACGAAUCAUUAUCUUCUUCUUGGGAAUGCUCAACUGGACCUUUGCUCAUAAAGGGUUACACAAAUGGAACAACGAGAAUCUUUUUUGUUGAGAGAUAGCAACCACUAUAGUGUCUGUUUGAAGUAAUUUUGAUUAGAAUUGAAAACUGUUUAUUUUCAAGGGAAGAAAUUUCAUCUCAAUGUCAUGCAAAGAUGAAUAAACUUUGAAAGAUCUAGCACUUCAUAAUAUAGAUCAUAAUGUGAAGAAUCUGAAGAAUUUAAAUAAGAUUUUAGAAUGUUAACAAAUAAUCAAUCAUAGUGCUUUAAAACGACUGAUGUCAUUUAAAACAGUAAAAUUCGUUUGAAUAAUUAAGUAAAUAAAAUGACAAUGAAUAUAUAAACAAAUAAAAAUAAUACAAGAUCAAAAAAAAAAAAAGUGACAAGAAUAUCUUACCAAUAUAAAAAUGUAGAAAUGUAAGAGUUUGUUCUUUGAAUUUGCUUCCUUGUACUUUGAGUAAAAUUAGAUAAAAAGAAUAAAGGAGAACAAAGAAGAAGAAUGUUAUAGACAAACCAAAGAAGAAGAAGAGAAGGAGAAGAAAAAGGCUGGAACCAGAAGGAAGAAUAGAACAAAGCUGGAUUGGAGUGAAACUAACGGUUCCAAUUCGAAAAAUGGGUAUUAUGGUCAUUAUAUGUUAAGGGCAUUUGAUAGAUUUCAACAAUAUAGAAAAGGAUAAUUUCGACAUUUUAACAUAAAAGAGGUCUUAAAAACUUUUUAGAGUAAGUUAGGCCUAAAAAAAGUUUUGAAUGGCUUGACUAGACAUUUUUUAAAAAUACCCUUAGAAAAUAAGACAUGCGACUUUUCUCUUGUAAUGUAAUCUCAUAUUGAGGCAAACCUCUAUAAUUUUGCGUGUUCUUUUGUGUCUUCUUAUCCUUAAUGCAAUUUUAUUGUUAUUGGUUGUAUAAAAUUAGGGUUUCUAAUUAUUAAUAAGCUCUGAUACACUUAACAUUCGCCAAGGAACUUGAUCUACGUACACAUAGAUAUGGUGGAAACAUAAAAUUUGAGUUACGUUCCAAAUACAAUAGUGUUUUAGGAUAUUAGAUCCUUGCUGACACCAGCGGUGGUUCUUAGUGUUUUGUUUCUCACCAGGGAAACGAAGUAGCCCAAGCCAUUGUACUGUAAGUGUUAUGCCCUAGUACAAUUGAUUUAAGUUGUAAACACUUUUAAUAUGUUUAAUUUAUUUAAUUUUGGCAAGAUCUAUUAUUUAUUUAAAUUAAUUUUCUGAUAAAUAAUAUUAAAUAAUAGAGUCCGAAGAUUCAAGUUUAAGUGAUUUGUUAAUUACAAGGAGUUGUGAUUGUAAGAUACAAAUUACGUAUAAUUGGAUUUCGAAUAAUCCGUGGUCGUAAGUAAUAAUGAGAUAUGGAUAUCGUUAUUACAGAUAGACCAUUACGUGUGACAUUUCCUACUUGUGAAGUAAGUAGAUGAUCUCACAAGUUAAAGUGUGGUGACACUUAAACGAACACGUGGAUGUUUUGUUAUAGAACAAAAUAUUGGAGACCCGCUAAGGGAUUCCACAUGGAUAACUAUCUGAGUGUCAGUGGUUAAUCUCUAACGUUCGGUAGUGGAAUUGGUCCUUUAACUUGAGGUGUGCUUUGUAUGAGGACAGUCAUACUUUGACAGUGUUGGAUGUUGCUCUACCAAGGGCCGCUAAUACGGCAUUGUUCGGUUAUGUCAAGAACCAUAUGAAGGUUGUGAAUGAUCGAUAAAGGAUUCGUCACUCUUAGAUAGUAAGAGAUUGUGAUCUGCAUUUCGUUCAAUUAAGUCAAUAACGAAAUCCUUGGUCAAGGUAUACACAUAAGUUGAAAAAGAGUUUUCGACUCAUAUUGACUUAAUAGUAGAAUGAAAGAUAUGAUCGAUAAUCGAGAUUGACACACUUCCAUAUCUUGUAAUCGAUCGGAUCAUAUUGACGAAGAGAUUAUAGUUUCAUGGUAAACGAACAGGUUUGAUUUUGUCAUACCACGUGACAUUUUCCGUCACAUAUGUUGCCCGAUACAUUCCUAGAUGUCAAUCUGAGACGGCGAGUGUGAAUUAGUGAUAAAUUAAAAGGGAGUUUUAAUUUAUCAGCUUUUGAUUAGAUCAAAAUAAUAGUUUACAUCGUUAGGUUUUGUGAUCGGGAAUUUGAUGCGUCGCACACAAAAGAGAAUUGGAAUAUUGUAAUUUAUCAAUUAAUUAAUUUAACAAUCGUUGGAUAAAUUAAUUAAUUGGAUUGGUUAUUUAUAGCCUCGAAUUAAUUAAUUGGAUUAAUUAAUUCACGGACCGAAUUUAAUUAAAUGGAUGAAUUAUAUAUUGGAUCGGACCAGGCCAAGCCCUUUUGGGCUUAUAUAAAUACAUGGUCAGGGUUUUAGAUCCAUAUAGUUUUCAUAAUUCUUGCUAGCACAAUUCGUGAAAAUCUUGGUGGCUACAAUCUGUUUUUUGUGUGGAAUGCAUUGGAGGCUGGAUAAUUGGACAGUUGUGGGAGUCACAUCAAAGUUGCUGGAACAAAGAUAACGCAAAGGAAUUUGCAAAUUCAAGAAAAUGUAUAACUUUUAUCACAGUUCCUAUCUAAAUACAAAGAUGAAUCCUGGUGGGAAUUGAAAUUGCUUUUAUUUCUGCUACGCAUGUUUAAGUAAAUUCCCAGCAGUGGUAUCAGAGCCAACUUUACAUUUGUUAGGAAUUGAUUCACAUGUUGAUUAAAUUAAAAGUUGAUUUAAUCAUGUUUACUCAAGAAUCUAGCAAUUAUAGUGUUUAAUUUAAUUUCUUCAAAAUUAGAUUUUGAAAAAGAAAAAAAAUUUUUGGUUCAAACGGGCGACGGUGGCGCGCACAGCAGCUCGCUGCUGCAAGCGCUGUAGCAGCGACAGCAAUGCCGCUGCUGUGGGCGGCAUUUCCUGUCGGUCUUUGGGCGAGCGGCACCGAUCAAGAAUUUUUUUAUUUUUUUUAGGGUUUCAAUUUUGGGGAAGGUGGAGGCGGGGGCUUCUAUUGUAAUUAAUGUAAUUGCAAGCCCCUGUCUGCAAUUAAAGAUAUAUGGGUGUUUUUGCAAUUUUGAUAGAGGGGCCUAUCAUGCUAUUUACGAAAUUGAGGGACUUGUGUUUUAAUUUCGAAUUGGGUCAAAUUGCAAUUUUUGAAAAUGGUUUUAAAUUUGAAUUCAAAAUGGUUUUUGAAAUUACGAUUUUAUUGGAUUUGACCAUGUUUCUAAUUUGGCCCAAAAUUAAUGAUACAUUUAAAAUUUGACGACUUUUAUAUUUUUGUUAAAAUUAGAUUUUAACUUAAAUAUUUUAUUUUGAUCCUAAAUUGAAUUUUUAUCUUAUUUGGGAGUUUUGUCCUAAAUUAAAAUAUUAAUUCAAUUUUAUUAGAGUUGGACUAUAAUAUUAUGUUAAUUAAAAUUUGAUUUUAAUUAAUACUACUUCCCCAAUGCAAAUUAAAUUUAGAGUAGGACUCUAAUUUAAUAAUUAAUUAAAAUUUGAUUUUAAUUAAUACUACUUCCCCAAUGCAAAUUAAAUUUAGAGUAGGACUCUAAUUUAAUAAUUAAUUAAAAUUUGAUUUUAAUUAAAUUACUUCGCCAAAUAGUUAUGGAAUUAGAGUUGGACUCUGAUUCGGGAUUUAGUUAAAAUUUGAUUUUAACUAAAUAUGCCCGCUAAUUAAGUUAAUUAAUUAAUAUGAUUAAUUAAUUAUUUAAUUAUUUCAAUCUAAAAAUUUUAAAUAAGUUCUGAUGACUAUAAUUGCUAGAUUUUUGAGACAUUGCAUAUAAUAUUAGAUAUUAUACAUAUGAAACAUUUAUGUGGUGAAUGUUUAUUUAUAGAUAAUUAUGGACUCGACCAUAUGGAUGUGUUGAAUGGUUGAUUUAAUUAUUGUCGUUUUAUGAGCCUACGAGUCCUUAAUUAUUUUAGACCUGCGAGUCCAUUAUUAUUAUUGUUGUUAUGGGCCUGUGAGCUCUUUAUUAUAUUGGACCUGCGAGUCCGUUGUUGUUGUUAUUAUUAUGGGCCUGCGAGUCUGACUUCUUUUAGACCUGCGUGCUAACUAGUAUAGGAUACAUGUUACAACUUGACUAAUUGAAGCGCAAGAAAAGGAGGAAACCAUGGAGAUGGUGCAUUAAUGUUGAUCCAAUGUUGUACCCCUUAGGAAUUGACCAACUAGUCUUCCCUUUGGUUUGGAAAAACUAGAUAGAACAAAUUCAUAAUCAUCCAUACUAUUAUUUAUAUAUUUAUUCGCAUGGUUGAAGCAUGAUUUUAUAUAUAUAAUUACUUGAUGAGACCAUUGCAUGUUAAAUCCCUCGUUAAAAUAUUAAGUUAGGAUUAUUUAUCUUCCAUCAUUAUAGUGAAAAACGAGAAUCCUAAAUCGAUCUCAGUUUGUUGAGUACACUCAAGGCUGGUGUAUUAGUGAUAUGUUUGACACUAUGAAAUAUUUGAUAUUUCUGAAUGAUAGGUUUGACUUAACUAAAAUUUAUCUUUUGUUGAGUACAUUCAAGAAGAUAAGUUUUAGAGGCAUGUUAAGCUAACAUAUAAAAUGUGUGAAGACAAUGGAAUUGUCAGCUUAAUGAUCUGGGAGCUGUAUGGAGAUACAAUUGAUAAUAGUAUCUACCCAAAUGUUUUAUUAAAAUUUGUUGAGUACACUCAAGAUCUUAAUACAAUGAUUUGGGAUCCCAGCCCACUGGGAAUCAAAUGUGGAUUUCAAUAAUUUAUGUAUGAGGGUCAUGAAUUUAUUUUAAACAGUGGGAGCACGUUUAAUUAAGGUCCAUAUUGAAUUUGUGCAAAUGCAUUAUAAUACAUAUUGAUUCUAUAUUUUUCGUCAUUUACAGUUUUUGAAUCAUAAGUAAUCAUAUGAAUUUGAGAGGCAUACUAGAUGCCAACAAACUGACCGGACCAAAUUUUCUUGAUUGGCAUCGCAAUUUGAGAAUCGUUCUCAAGCAUGAGAAAAUUGGGUAUAUCCUUGAGCAGUCCUUUCCAGAGGUGCCUACUGAAAAUUCUACUGAGGAAGAUGUGACUGCUUACAACAAAUACAGUGAUGACGAUAACACUGCAACAUGUGUGAUGCUUGAAGCUAUGGCACCUGAGUUGCAGAAGCAACAUGAGGGUAUGGAUGCUUACACUAUGAUUUUUCAUCUCAAGGAAUUGUAUGAUGAACAAUCUCGUGUGGAGAGUUAUGAGACCUCCAAACAACUAUACCGGUGCAAAAUGGCAUAGGGAUCUUCAGUCUGUGCUCAUGUGCUGAAGAUGAUUGGUUUCAUUGAGAAAUUGGUUCAAUUGGGUUUUUAUCAUGGAUCAUGAACUAAGUAUUAACUUGGUACUGCAAUCUCUGCUAGAUAGUUAUCCACAGUUUAUUAUGAACUUCAAUAUGAAUAAGAUCGAAUGCACACUCCCUGAGUUGCUUAAUAUGCUUAAAACUGUGGAGCCCAAUAUCAAAGCUAGCACUGGGCAUGUCUUAGCUAUUCAAUCCUCCAAGGGCACUAAGAGGAAAAUCAAAUGAAGUUUUAAGAAAACAUCCAAAAAGACUAAGGGCAAUAACAAAGCAGUCAAAGCAUGCAAGGGCAAUACCAAAUCUGAUGACACAUGCUAUCACUGUGGAGUGAAAGGUCAUUGGAAGAGGAACUGCAAGGCUUACCUCGCUAGCUUGAACGGAAAGAAGUCUUCUGAAACUUCUACUUAAGGUAUUUUUGUUAUCGAGGUUAAUAUGUGUACUUCAUUAGUUUCUUGAGUAUUAGAUACCAAAUGUGGAUCUCAUAUUUGUAUAAAUAUGCAGGGACUAAAGAGAAGUAGACCACUGCAGAAAAGAGAAGUUGACCUGCGCGUGGGGAAUGGAGCAAGAGUUGCUGCAUUAGCUGUAGGGACAUACUUUUUACCACUGCCUUCGGGCUUAGUAUUAGAAUUAGAAAAUUGUUAUUUUGUUCCCGUUAUUACUAAAAACAUUAUUUCUAUUUCGUGUUUGGACAUGAAUGAUUUUUCAAUUAAUGUUAAGAAUAAUCGUUGUUCAUUUUAUAAAGAUGAGAUCUUUUAUGGUUGUGGUGUGUUGCAAAAUGGAAUUUAUAUUCUUGAUACUGAGUCAUCUAUUAUGAGAAUAGAAAGUAAAAGGCAUAAAAGUGAUAAUUUAAAUAAUAUAUACCUCUGGCAUUGCAGAAUGGGUCAUAUUAACGACAAACGCAUUUCCAAGUUACAUAAAGAUGGAUACUUGGGGUCAACUUAUUUUGAAUCAUUUGACAAAUGCGAGUCAUGCCUGUUAGGCAAAAUGACCAAGUUCCCCUUUACUGGAAAAGGAGAAAGAGCCACAAAAUUGCUGAGACUAAUAUAUACUGAUGUAUGUGGACCCAUGUCAAUCACUGCCAGAGGUGGUUUCUCUUACUUCAUCACAUUUACUGAUAAUCAUUCUAGAUAUGGUUAUGUGUAUCUGAUGAAAUUCAAGCAUGAAGCACUUGAAAAGUUCAAAAAAUUAAAACUUGAAGUAGAGAAACAGACCGGUAAAAAUAUUCUCACGCUGAGAUUAGAUCGAGGUGGAGAAUAUUUAAAGGGAGAAUUUUUAGAUUAUCUAAAAGAGAAUGAGAUUCUCUCGCAGUGGACUCCGCCAUAUCCACCGCAACAUAAUGGUGUAUCUGAAUAGAGGAAUCGCACAUUGUUAGACAUGAUGCAAUCAAUGAUGAGCCAUACAAACAUCCCAAAAUUAUUUUGGGGUCAUGCACUAAUUGCUGCGUGCUACACACUUAAUCGUGUCCCAUCUAAAUCGAUCGACAAAACUCCAUACGAGCUAUUACUAAUCAAGUAUUAUUAGUCGAGGAUGAUGAACCUACAAAUUACGCAGAAGUGAAGUCAAGUGUUGACUCGAAGAUAUGGUAAGAAGUCAUGGAAUCCGAAAUGAACUCAAUGUAUGAGAACAAAAUUUGGACCUUGGUCGACCUUCCAGGUGGGAUAAAAUCGAUAGGUUGUAAAUGAGUUUACAAGAAAAAGGUCGAUGUGAAUGGAAACAUCGAUACAUACAAAACAAAACUAGUAGUGAAAUGUUACACACAAAGACAAGACGUUGCUUUAAUGAAACUUUUUCGCCUGUAGCCAUGCUAAAGUCCAUUCAAAUUUUGCUUGCAAUUGCUGCAUACCAUGAUUAUGAAAUAUGGCAAAUGGAUGUUAAAACUGCUUUCCUUAAUGAAAACUUACAAGAUGAGGUAUACAUGACACAACCUGAAGGUUUUGAAUCCAAAGGAGCCAACAAAGUCUGUAAGCUAAAUCGAUCCAUUCAUGGAUUAAAGCAAGUCUCUAGGAGCUGGAAUCUUCGUUUUGAUGAAACAAUCAAAAUGCCAUGGAAUCCGAAAUGAACUCAAUGUAUGAGAACAAAAUUUGGACCUUGGUCGACCUUCCAGGUAGGAUAAAAUCGAUAGGUUGUAAAUGAGUUUACAAGAAAAAGGUCGAUGUGAAUGGAAACAUCGAUACAUACAAAACAAAACUAGUAGUGAAAUGUUACACACAAAGACAAGGCGUUGCUUUAAUGAAACUUUUUCGCCUGUAGCCAUGCUAAAGUCCAUUCAAAUUUUGCUUGCAAUUGCUGCAUACCAUGAUUAUGAAAUAUGGCAAGCUUAUCUCAAUCUUCAUACAUAGAUAAAAUCUUGAGAAGAUAUAAUAUGGAAGAGUCUAAGAGAGGUUUGUGUCCUAUGUCACAUGGGAUUUACCUCUCAAAAGAUAUGUGUCCUAAAACACAUGAUGAAAGGAAUCGCAUGGAUAAGAUUCCUUAUGCUUCGACGAUAGGAUCUAUCAUGUAUGCGAUGAUAUGUACGAGACCAGAUGUUUCAUAUGUUCUAAGUGUUACGAGCAGGUUUCAAGCAAACCCUGGUGAGAAACACUAGAUAGCGGUUAAAAACAUUCUUAAGAACUUGAGAAUGAUUAAAGAUAUGUUCUUGAUCUAUGGAGGAGAUGAACUAAAGAUUUAUAGGUAUACUGAUGUCAGCUUUCAAUCUGACAAAGAUGAUAGCAAGUCUCAAUCAAGAUAUAUGUUUACUCUCAACAAUGGAGCGGUUAGUUGGAAAAGUUUCAAACAGGAGACAACCGCUGAUUCAACAACAGAAGCCGAGUACAUUGCUGCUUCUAAAGCAGCAAAAGAAGCUGUUUGGAUCAAGAAGUUCAUUAAUGAACUGGGAGUCGUUCCUAGCAUUGUUGAUCUUAUCAACGAUCCAAAUAUGUGCUAUGAUGAUAUCAUCUCAUCAGGGAGAUUAUACAAAGAAAUGACGUAAAGAUAGAGCGAGUUCCCACAGAUGACAAUAUUGCAGAUCCAAUGACAAAGCCGUUGUCACAACAGAAACAUGAUCGUCAUGUGGACACUUAUGGUAUUGAUACAUGAAUGAUUGGAUCUAGUGCAAGUGGGAGUUUGUAAGUGUUAUGCCCUAAAUAUAAUCGAUUUAGGUUGUAAACACUUUUAAUAUGUUCAAUGUAUUUAAUUUUGGCAAGAUCUAUUAUUUAUUUAAAUUAAUUUUCUGAUAAAUAAUAUUAAAUAAUAGAGUCCGAAAAUUCAAGUUUAAGUGAUUUGUUAAUCACAAGGAGUUGUGAUUGUGAGAUACAAAUUACGUAUAAUUUUAUCUUGAAUAAUUCGUGGUCGUAAGUAAUAACGAAAUACGGAUAUAGUUAUUACAGAUAGACCAUCACGUGUGGCAUUUCCUACUUGUGAAGUAAGUAGAUGAUCUCACAAGUUAAAGUGUGAUGACACUUAAAUAAACACGUGAAUGUUUUGUUAUUGAACAAAAUAUUGGAGACCCGCUAAGGGAUUCCACAUGGAUAACUAUCUGAGUGUCAGUGGUUAAUCUCUAACGUUCGGUAGUAGAAUUUGUCCUUUGACUUGAGGUCAUCAUAGUGCCUUGUAUGAGGACAGACAUGCUUUAACGGUGUUGGAUGUUGCUCUACCAAGAGCCGCUAAUACGGCAUCGUUCGGUUAUGUCAAGAACCAUAUGAAGGUUGUGAAUGAUCAAUAAAGGAUUCGUCACUCUUAGAUAGUAAGAGAUUGUGAUCUGCAUUUCGUUCAAUUAAGUCAAUAACGAAAUUUUUGGCCAAGGUAUACACAUAAGUCGAAAAAGAGUUUUCGACUCAUAUUAACUUAAUAGUAAAAUGAAAGAUAUGAUCGACAAUCGAAAUUGACACACUUCCAUAUCUCAAAAUUGAUCGGAUCAUAUUGACGAAGGGAUUAUAGUUUCACGGUAAACGAACAGGUUUGGUUUUGUCAUACCACGUGACAUUUUCCGUCACAUGUGUUGCCCUGAUACAUUGCUAGAUGUCAAUUCGAGGCGGAGAGUGUGAAUUAGUGAUAAAUUAAAAUGGUGUUUUAAUUUAUCAGUUUUUUAUUAGAUCAAAAUAAUAUUUCACGUUGUUAGGUAUCGUGAUCGGGAACUUGAUGGGUUGCACACAAAAGAGAAUUGAAAGAUUACAAUUUGUCAAUUAAUUGAUUUAAAAAUCGUUGGAUAAAUUAACUAAUUGGAUUGGUUAUUUAUAGCCCCGAAUUAAUUAAUUGGAUUAAUUAAUUCACGGACCAGAUUUAAUUAAAUGGAUUAAUUAUAUAUUGCACCGGACCAGACCGAGCCCGUUUGAGUUUAUAUAAAUACAUGGUUAGGAUUUUAGAUCCAUAUAAUUUUCAUAAUUCUUGCUAGCACAAGUCGUGAAAAUCCUGGUGGCUGCAAUCUGUUCUCUGUGUGGAAUUCAUUGGAGACUGGACAAUUGGAUAGCUGUGAGAGGCAGAUCAAAGUUGUUGGAACAAAGAUAACGCAAAGGAGUUUGCAAAUUCAAGAAAAUGUAUAACUUUUAUUACAGUUCCUAUCUAAAUACAAAGAUAAAUCCUAGUUGAAAUUAAAAUUGUUUUUAUUUCCGCUGCGCAUGUUUAAGUAAAUUCUCAACAUAUACAACAAGUAUAUGAUAACAUAACAGAAAUUCCAUUGCAUUGUGAGUUUAAUUGCCUCUGAUGCAGGCAAAUAAAAUGGCAUCUGGCUGUUUUGAAAUAUAUUAUAACAGCAGUUUCCUGUAAUUAUGUCAAAUUGAAUCAAUUUUAAAAACGAAGGAUUCAUAUAUUUUUAGCUCAUUCAGAUGAACUACAAACCCUUCUAAUAAGAACAAGUCCUGUCGCCGCUAGCCAGCUACUUCGGCAAAGAAAAUGUCAUAUUAUUAGUUAGUAAUCUCUGCUUAAUAAAAAUUUCUUUUUCAAUGAACAGUUAGCAUCAACCAACAUUUCAUCUACAGGAUCAACCGUUAAUAGCAUCCUGCAACUUUUCUUUGUAGAUGGAAGAAAUGGGGCUCUGCCCGACUUAUAGUUUCGACUCAAUGAAUCAUUUCUUCUCGUAUAAAAUUAUUACCAAUCUUACAUUUUACAGUGGAUUGAAUCCUUUAUUCAAAAACUUAGUACCAAUCAUUUCUUCUUGUAAAUGAGAAAAUUUAUGUCUCGACCUAAAUUAUAGUGGAAUGCUUUAUUCAAAUACUUACCACCAAUCUUACAUCUUAUCUCCUUAGGUAGGAAAUUGUCUCGCACAGUGCUAUUGGGAAUCAAAAAUUUCAACUUGGAGAUAUUAAAAGAAGAUUGUGUUUAGACAUGCAAAAGCAAAUAAAAACAGGCAUUUUGGAUGCCGAUUAUAUAUUAUAUAUUUCAACCAAGUAAAGCCACUCCAUAGGACCUUGAUUCCUUGGUUUCCUAACUUGACUUCGAUAUUCCCAAAAUUAACUUUUCCUAGUAUCACUACAUAGUUUUGACUCUCUUUCCCUCUAUAUAUAUGUGUCUAAAUUCAAUAACUAAAUCAUCAAUAUACUAAUCAAAACAUAAGACAUGGACUUCUUCUUUGUGUCUCUCCUUGGCCUCUUUGUUUCCUUUGUAUUCUUCUCUCUUAACUACAUCUUCUACAAGAACAAAUCGAGCUCAUCUGGGACGCUUCCUCCCGGCAAGACUGGAUUGCCAGUGGUUGGCGAAACCCUAGAGUUUCUCACCACUGGGUGGAAGGGCUACCCCGAAAAGUUCAUUUACGAUCGGAUGGCUAAGUACUCAUCCAAAGUUUUCAGGACUCACCUACUUGGAGAAAAGGCUGCCGUUUUCUGUGGUGCUGCUGGUAAUAAGUUUUUGUUCUCAAAUGAGAAUAAACUUGUCCAAGCAUGGUGGCCUGCAUCUUUUGACAAAGUUUUCCCAUCUUCUAAUCAAACUUCAUCAAAAGAAGAAGCCAUAAAAAUGCGAAAAAUGCUUCCGAAUUUCCUCAAACCCGAAGCCUUACAACGAUACAUCGGUAUAAUGGAUCAUAUUGCACAAAGACACUUUACUGAUGACUGGGAAAACAAGAAUGAAAUUGUUGCUUUCCCCCUUGCAAAGAAAUUCACUUUCUGGCUGGCCUGCCGUUUGUUUGUAAGCGUCGAAGAUCCCAACCACGUUGCUAGAUUUGCUGAUCCUUUCGACCUUCUAGCAUCUGGACUUAUUUCCCUUCCCAUAGACUUGCCCGGAACGCCAUUUAAUCGUGCCAUCAAGGCCUCAAAUUUCAUCCGUAAAGAGCUUGUUGCCAUAAUCAAACAGCGAAAACUUGAUUUAGCUGAAGGAAAAGCAUCGCCAACACAAGAUAUAUUGUCUCACAUGCUCUUGACUAGUGAUGAAAAUGGAAAAUUCAUGCAUGAAUUGGAUAUUGCUGAUAAGAUUUUAGGCCUGCUUAUUGGAGGCCAUGAUACUGCUAGUUCUGCAUGCACUUUCAUUAUCAAGUUUCUUGCAGAGUUGCCUGAGGUAUAUGACGGAGUCUACAGGGGUAAGUCUCAAAUAAUCCAAACUCCACCCCCCCUCUCCCAUCCCAACAUUUUUCAAUUUUCAUUCUUAUAAUUAAUUAUUUUAUUUCGAUGAUCAGAACAAAUAGAGAUUGCCAAAUCAAAAGCUCCAGGUGAAUUGCUGAACUGGGAAGACAUAAAGAAAAUGAAAUAUUCAUGGAAUGUGGCAUGUGAAGUGAUGAGACUAGCACCACCCCUCCAAGGAGCUUUUAGAGAAGCCAUUACUGAUUUCAUGUACAAUGGUUUUGAAAUUCCAAAGGGAUGGAAGGUAAAUAAUGCACACAAAUAUGUCUAAUCCGAUGUACCAAAUAUGUUCAUAUUCGUUUCAUACAAGCCAUUAUAUACCUAUUAAUCCCGUGUUGUUUCCUUACCUUUCGCAGUUAUACUGGAGUGCAAAUUCGACACACAGGAAUCCCGAGUUCUUCCCCGAGCCACUGAAAUUUGAUCCUUCAAGAUUUGAUGGAUCAGGACCAGCUCCUUUCACAUUUGUUCCAUUUGGUGGAGGACCUAGAAUGUGCCCAGGAAAAGAGUAUGCCCGUCUCGAAAUUCUUGUUUUUAUGCACCAUCUUGUGAAAAGGUUCAAGUGGGAGAAAAUAAUUCCAGAUGAGAAGAUUGUUGUUAAUCCAAUGCCAAUUCCUGCCAAGGGUCUUCCUGUUCGCCUCUAUCCUCACACAGCUUAAUUAAAUUCAAUUUCAAGUUUGAUCGUGCCUAGAAUUGCUCGAAAAGAACACCUUUUAGGUGCUUUUGAACACGGCCAAAUAUGCUUUCAACUUUUAAUCUUCUACGAAUUGUAUUUUUGUUUUCAGAGUAUCUGUAUUUCCCCUCGUGCUUUUCUUAGUCGGAUGGAAAAUAAAAAUAAUUUAGUUAAAAACAGAUCGUUUAUAUGUAAAAAAAGGGUAUUUUAAACGAAAAUAAAAUAAAAAUGUAACAGGGUUGUGAUUCAUCUUGAGCGAUGAAAGCGGGGCUGCAUCGAAAGAUUCGCCUAAAGAAAAUUGGCAAGAUGCCCCCAUGUGCAGAGUAAAAGCUUUCUUGCUUGGCCUUGUACCUAAACUGUGGACAAAAAGUGGUAGGUGAAGCGUGAAUUCAGCGCUUAAAAAAAGGAAAUUUUUCACGGGCCCCAGUCCUUGGAGUCGCACCUUUGUGCAAUUUGUUACUAGUCACGCACUAGCUAGAUUUGCUCAUUACUAUUUAUCACUAUCUUCCUUCGUGCUCGAUUUUUCUAGUUAAACCUGUCGGUCUAGUUCGAUUUCGCAACACAACUAGAGCCAACAUAAACGACGAUUAAACAAUAGAAUAAUGAUAUUCAUAAUAAGUAGUAUCUUGGCGGAAUUGCCACAUAUGAAAUUGAGCACAAUUUUGCAAAGAAAUAGCCCACUUGUUUCUCGAGAAGAGAUGGGAAACAUGCUCAAUAUCAUUUGAUUGAAUAGUUGACCCAGCCCCUGGGCUCAUAUGAAGGGUAUGUUAUUAUUUUAGAUCUAACCAAUUGGAUGAAUUACUCCUAAAGGUUCCUUUUCGUUUGUUUCGAGAAAUCUAUCGAUCAAUUCCGAUUCUUUCUUUUUCUCUUGAUUCUUUUCCGAUCGAGAUGUAUAGAUCCUGUACAUCCUAGGUCUUCCCGUUCCGUCAUCUGGCUUAUGUUCUUCAUGUAGCAUUCAGACCGAAUGACUCUAUGAAAUUACGUCGAUACUUCCACAUAUUAUGGGUAACGUAGGAGACAUCUCUAUUUUUCCCCCGGGGAAUCUUUAGAAUUCCCACUGCUUAGCUUUUUAGAACCCCCCCUUUUCUGGAUCCACCUCACAUCAAUAACCCGGCCCCUACCACCUAUAGGUAGUUUUAAACAAGUUCUAGACGAUUGUCAACCUCUUAAUUCAUUGUCUAAUGCAUUAAAAUCAUUCCAACUCUGUUGAAUAAUGAAUCAGAAGUUUCGAUCACUAGUCUAGACGAUUGUCAACCUCUUAAUUCAUUGUCUAAUGCAUUAAAAUCAUUCCAACUCUGUUGAAUAAUGAAUCAGAAGUUUCGAUACAUGGCACUGUUUUCUGCAAAUCACCUUGGGCCUGUUUGAUAGGCCCUUUUUUCCAUGGCUCAUAUGAAGGGUAUGUUAUUAUUUUAGAUCUAACCAAUUGGAUGAAUUACUCCUAAAGGUUCCUUUUCGUUUGUUUCGAGAAAUCUAUCGAUCAAUUCCGAUUCUUUCUUUUUCUCUUGAUUCUUUUCCGAUCGAGAUGUAUAGAUCCUGUUCAUGGAUUAACCCUAGGUCUUCCCGUUCCGUCAUCUGGCUUAUGUUCUUCAUGUAGCAUUCAGACCGAAUGACUCUAUGAAAUUACGUCGAUACUUCCACAUAUUAUGGGUAACGUAGGAGACAUCUCUAUUUUUCCCCCGGGGAAUCUUUAGAAUUCCCACUGCUUAGCUUUUUAGAACCCCCCCUUUUCUGGAUCCACCUCACAUCAAUAACCCGGCCCCUACCACCUAUAGGUAGUUUUAAACAAGUUCUAGACGAUUGUCAACCUCUUAAUUCAUUGUCUAAUGCAUUAAAAUCAUUCCAACUCUGUUGAAUAAUGAAUCAGAAGUUUCGAUACAUGGCACUGUUUUCUGCAAAUCACCUUGGGCCUGUUUGAUAGGCCCUUUUUUCCAUGGAACUUGGAAAUGAAAUUUCAUUUUCCAUGUUUUUGAGUGUUUGAUUUGCCAAAUUUUCCAAGUAAUUGGUUUUCUAGCUUUCUCCUCACUUGACCGGCUUUUCCUUGUUUUUGAGGAAUCCACUUUCUCAUGGGGUUGGUGGAAAUUGAUUUUCCAUGCAACAAUUUUUUUAUUACAAUGGAAACAAAUUCUAGGAACAAUUGAAAAAGAUGAUAUCUCUUAAAUUGACAAUUUUCAUGUAAAACAAAACCAAACGAGCACCAAAAUAUAGAUGAUUUUUUGAACCUUUUUUCUUUUGGAAACAAAAUUUAGGAACAAUUGUAGAAGUGAAUAUCCCUUAAAUUGACAAUUUUCAUGAAAAUAAAACCAAACGAACAUCAAAAGACACUUUUAUUUCAACAUUUUUCAAGUAAAAAAUUAUAUCAAUCAAAUACUAUUAAUUGACAAUUCUCAGUAAAACAAUUUCUAGGCAAUUCAAUUCCCUGAAAUUCAUUUUAUUUUCAUCCAAAUUUCAUCUUUGCAAUCAAACGGACCAUAUAUGUCAAAUGUAUUUGUUUGGCAUAAAGAACUGGGAAGACAUAAAGAAAUGAAAUAUUCAUGGAAUGUGGCAUGUGAAGUAAUGAGACUUGCACCGCCCCUCCAAGGAGAUUUCAGAGAAGCCAUUAUUGGUUUCAUGUACAGCGGUUUCAGAGAAAGUGUAUUUGAAAAUGAGUAUUAAAAAAAAAAAGGUUUUGAAAGAUUGGUUAUCAAACAUAUUGAAGUGGGCUUCUUACUUUCAAAUAAUUGCACGCUCAAUAAAUUUCUUCUAUGCAUUUUGUUACAUCUAUAGAUAACGUGACAUAUGCAUAAUUGAGAAAGUACCACAUAUACUGAUUCGUCAUAGAUUAUUUAGCCCCUGUUUGAUGGUCAUUAUUUGGCAAAAAAAUAAAUUUUUGAAUGAUGAAUUUUUGAAAAAUAUGCAGUUAAAAGUAGAGAAAAUUUUGGGAUUUAUAUGUAAAAUAUUUUAAUGUGUAAAUGUGUGAUUGAAAAUGAAUAUAUUGAAAAAAAAAUUUGAUUUAACGGAUAUCGAAUAGGGGCUUAACUGAAUUGGGUCUAGUAAAUUAAUAAAAAACAUCGCUUGGGCUUGAAACUCAACCCAUUAGCACCAUUUGACCAAUUUUCAUUACACUCUAUAUAUGUGAUCUAUUUCACAAUCAAGGUAUGUCAUUUUAGCCCUAGCCAAACCCCUCUCUUUUUUCUUAUACUCAUUUAUCUCUUGUCGGCUCUUGAUUUGAUCAUCGGAAUGCAAACGGUCAUGGGACCAUUUUUCGAUCCAUGGCCCUUGCCUCCUAACAAGAUGUUCCAAUGUGCAGGUGAAUGUGAUUCUUAUUUCCUGCUUCAUCAGACAGAUUCUUCGUCCCUCACUAUUAUCGAGAAUAGCUACAAGACCUCGUCUAUCUAAGACCAACUUAUAAGUGUUCGAUAGCUCAAGAGAGCCAUUUGCGAGAUGUUUAUUCUCGCUUUGCUGUAUGCUUAUUCCUUAGUUUGCGGAUGCUUGUUCUUUUCUUCUCUUUCUUGGGACUUGUCCAACCUCACCAUUUCUCCAAGCGAGGCAAGUCAUUCACUUAUAAUGCAUGUAUGAGCCGUCUACACAAUCUCUUCAGCUUCACUGCAUUUAUCUUCAGAGAAUUCAUCAUGCAUCCACAUCAGCUUAUCACGGCUACUUACAUACUCAGAGCCACACUUCUGCAUUAACUAUAUCACAACUAUAUCUAUUUUCAGAGAGCUCAUCAUGCCUUUGCAUCAACUAUAUUACAACUGCACUUAUCUUCAAAGAGCUUACAUUAUCUCCUUGCAUGGAUGAACCAUCCAUCAUGCAAUGAUGUUAUUCAUGACUUCGUAAGAAAUGAGUGGGCCCACCUCAAUAUUUACAUAGACGAAGCCUCCCACAAUUGAAUCAUCCACCUGGGAGAAACCCUUUCCAUGGAUAUGUUAACCCCAUGCAAAAAUAUCCACUUUAAAAAGAGAGUUAUAAGCACCUCAACGAGGUCCCAUCUUAGAUAUCCCCAAAGAUAAUGCCUUCCACAACUAAAUCAUCUACCUAGAAGAAGCCCUUACCAUGAUGUGCCACAACCAUGCAAGGAUGUCAGCUUCAUUACUGCUGUUUAUAUUCAGUCUAGAGUCUCACCUCUGCAUCAGUAUCAAUAUAGCUAUUUAUUCGAAGUCUCAUCUCUGCAUCAACUUAUCACGACUGCUUAUAUUCAGAGUCUCGCCUUUGUAUCAACUUUAUCACAGUUGAUCAUAUUCAGAUUCUCAUAUCUAUCCAAAAUGUCCAUGAAUUAUAUGAAUAUCCAUACAGAGAUUUGGGGGA
rnacentral:lncRNA from 1 species